GGGAGGACUGACUGGCCCCGGAUAGGGAGUGAGGGGUGAGGAGGUUAGGGGGAGGUCUGACUGGUCUGUGAUAGGGAGUGAGGGGUGAGGAGGUUAGGGGGAGGUCUGACUGGUCUGUGAUAGGGAGUGAGGGGUGAGGAGGUUAGGGGGAGGUGUGACUGGUCUGUGAUAGGGAGUGAGGGGUGAGGAGGUUAGGGGGAGGUCUGACUGGUCUAAGAUACGGAGGAGUUUCAUUAAAUGUUUUAUUCAACCUUUAUUUCACUAGUUAAGUCAGUUAACAGCUAAUUCUUAUUUACAAUGACGGGCUACACCGGUCAGACCCGGACAAUGCUUGGCCAAUUGUGUGCCGCCCUACGGGACUCCCGAUCACAGCUGGUUGGAUUCGAACCAGGGUGUCUGUAGGGUCGCCUCCAG
ensembl:lncRNA